rnacentral:rRNA from 1 species
AGUGAACGCUGGCGGUAGGCCUAACACAUGCAAGUCGAACGGCAGCACAGUAAGAGCUUGCUCUUACGGGUGGCGAGUGGCGGACGGGUGAGGAAUACAUCGGAAUCUACUUUUUCGUGGGGGAUAACGUAGGGAAACUUACGCUAAUACCGCAUACGACCUACGGGUGAAAGCAGGGGAUCUUCGGACCUUGCGCGAUUGAAUGAGCCGAUGUCGGAUUAGCUAGUUGGCGGGGUAAAGGCCCACCAAGGCGUCGAUCCGUAGCUGGUCUGAGAGGAUGAUCAGCCACACUGGAACUGAGACACGGUCCAGACUCCUGCGGGAGGCAGCAGUGGGGAAUAUUGGACAAUGGGCGCAAGCCUGAUCCAGCCAUACCGCGUGGGUGAAGAAGGCCUUCGGGUUGUAAAGCCCUUUUGUUGGGAAAGAAAAGCAGCAGGUUAAUACCCCGCUGUUCUGACGGUACCCAAAGAAUAAGCACCGGCUAACUUCGUG